ensembl:lncRNA novel transcript
UUUCUUCUCUCUUCCACCUGACAGACUUCUACUCUUCCUUCAAGGGUCAGCCCGAGUGGCAUCCUUUUGAAGUUUCUUCUGUCUCCCUGACCAGCUGUGAGCCCUCUAGGGCCAAGACAGUGGCUUCCUAACCUGGUCUGGGCACUUUAACACUAGCACAGGACUUGGCACAAGGCUCUACAAGAAGCAUGGUAUCAGCAUCUGCUUCUGAUGAUGCCUCAGGCUGCUUCCACUCAAGUUGGAAGGAAAAAGGGAGGCUGCAUGUGCAGAGAUCACACGGAGGAGGAGGAAGCAAAAGAGAACGUUCUGUGGAUGAGGCAUGGUGCUUGGCACAGACUGACACAAGUUUGGGCAAACUUGGCAGAGCAGCCUAACCCAAAGCGAAAAACAGAAAUGAACCAAGAUACAACCUCUGUGGAAAACCCUACUGAACAAAAGCAACUCUGUGGAGUGUCCUCUCAGCUGCAAAUUGAGACAGAAUUGUGGGGCAAGCUUGGCCACUGAUGCAGGUGAUGGGCCCGGGGCUGGGAUGAACAAUGGGGACA